GUUUGGAUUCUUGAGACUUAUCGUGGG
rnacentral:piRNA from 1 species